UGGGGAAUAUUGGACAAUGGGCGAAAGCCUGAUCCAGCCAUGCCGCGUGAGUGAUGAAGGCCCUAGGGUUGUAAAGAUCUUUCACCGGUGAAGAUAAUGACGGUAACCGGAGAAGAAGCCCCGGCUAACUUCGUGCCAGCAGCCGCGGUAAUACGAAGGGGGCUAGCGUUGUUCGGAUUUACUGGGCGUAAAGCGCACGUAGGCGGAUUGUUAAGUGAGGGGUGAAAUCCCAGGGCUCAACCCUGGAACUGCCUUUCAUACUGGCAAUCUCGAGUCCGGAAGAGGUGAGUGGAAUUCCGAGUGUAGAGGUGAAAUUCGUAGAUAUUCGGAGGAACACCAGUGGCGAAGGCGGCUCACUGGUCCGGUACUGACGCUGAGGUGCGAAAGCGUGGGGAGCAAACA
rnacentral:rRNA from 1 species